rnacentral:rRNA from 1 species
AACGAACGCUGGCGGCGUGCUUAACACAUGCAAGUCGUACGAGGAAAUCCCGGGCAACUGGGAGAGUAAAGUGGCGCACGGGUGAGUAACACGUGGGUAACCUACCCUUGAAUUGGGGAUAACUCCGCGAAAGCGGGGCUAAUACCGAAUAACACCUCGUUUUCCCCGGAAGACGAGGUCAAAGGUGGCCUCUGCUUGCAAGCUACUGUUCAAGGAUGGGGCCCGCGCACCAUUAGCUUGUUGGUAGGGUAAUGGCCUACCAAGGCUACGAUGGUUAGCUGGUCUGAGAGGAUGGCCAGCCACACUGGAACUGAGACACGGUCCAGACUCCUACGGAGGCAGCAGUGGGGAAUCUUGCGCAAUGGGGGAAACCCUGACGCAGCAACGCCGCGUGGGUGAUGAAGGCCUUCGGGUCGUAAAGCCCUGUCAGGUGGGAAGAAACCUGUCGAUGCCAAUAACAUCGAUAGUUGACGGUACCACCGGAGGAAGCACCGGCUAACUCCGUGCCAGCAGCCGCGGUAA